UGGGGAAUUUUGGACAAUGGGCGAAAGCCUGAUCCAGCAAUGCCGCGUGUGUGAAGAAGGCCUUCGGGUUGUAAAGCACUUUUGUCCGGAAAGAAAUCCUUGGCUCUAAUACAGUCGGGGGAUGACGGUACCGGAAGAAUAAGCACCGGCUAACUACGUGCCAGCAGCCGCGGUAAUACGUAGGGUGCAAGCGUUAAUCGGAAUUACUGGGCGUAAAGCGUGCGCAGGCGGUUUGCUAAGACCGAUGUGAAAUCCCCGGGCUCAACCUGGGAACUGCAUUGGUGACUGGCAGGCUAGAGUAUGGCAGAGGGGGGUAGAAUUCCACGUGUAGCAGUGAAAUGCGUAGAGAUGUGGAGGAUACCGAUGGCGAAGGCAGCCCCCUGGGCCAAUACUGACGCUCAUGCACGAAAGCGUGGGGAGCAAAACAGGAUUAGAUACCCUGGUAGUCCACGCCCUAAACGAUGUCAACUAGUUGUUGGGGAUUCAUUUCCUUAGUAACGUAGCUAACGCGUGAAGUUGACCGCCUGGGGAGUACGGUCGCAAGAUUAAAACUCAAAGGAAUUGAC
rnacentral:rRNA from 1 species